GCACACGGGGUGUCCGGUCCUUCGGGGAUUGGGCUGAGAACAGACCCGACGAACCUGCACUGGAUCAUGCCAGCGAAGGGAGUGGA
rnacentral:ncRNA from 1 species